CUUAGCGCGUGCAGUCUGCCUUCCUCGCUCGAUUUUGCUUCUUGACCACGUGGCUUUGGCGAUUUUUGGCGUUUAAUUUACUCAUUUUUCAACGCUUUUCAAGGAGGUGGAAGUCGUACUUGCCAUGAGUUAUUAAACAGUUUGGAAAAGGACAUUUUUCCAUGGAAUGCCCACAAGGAGGAGGUGGGAGUCGAGCAUUUUAGUGUUCAUUUCCAACCAAGAAGUGGUCCAUGUAGCAAGGGAUUUUCCACAAGGAGGGGUCAUUGGUGGCAGCAAGUGUUACAAUUGUCAUGAAGUUGGCCACACCUCAAAAGGCUGUACGUAUCUAUUCGUGAAUUGACGAAAAACGGAAAGCCGCGUGAACAAUACAUUCCGGAAGCUGUGACAAGCGAUGAAAAGGAACUGUUUAAGUGGGAUCGUCUGUGGGGAACGCUUUAACAAUUUUGAUAAAGUCGUUCUCCAUCGAAUCCAGGUUACAGGAAAAGAUGUACCUCAAUACAUAAAAUCACUCGAAAAAGGCGGCCUGCGCCCACUACUACUUCAAAACAUUAAGAAUUCUGGCUACAUAAAACCAACACCUGUACAGAAAGCUUCAGUUGCAGUUAGUCCUUGUUCUUGCCAAAAGAUAUUUGAUUGCUUGUGCUGUCACGGGCUCCGGCAAAACGGCGGCGUACUUGGUACCGGUUAUGAACAUAUUGUUAGAACAAGGUGUUGCUGGUGCGUCGCCGCCAUGGUCCAAAAGCCAGAAGUUGUAAUUGUCGCACUUACUCGUGAAUUUUCGAUUCGAAUUCACCGCGGGUCGUGUAAAUUCUCCUACAAUUCGGUUUUAAAAUCUGUCAUUAUAUAUGAAGGUACUGUCGCGAGCCAUCAGCGGUCAAAUCUUCAAGCUGGGUGCAAUACUCUUGUCGCGACCGCGGGGCGACUCGAGGAUUUUCUCAACCGUGGAGUAUUUUACUUCUCGACGGCCAGGUUUUUAAUUUUGGACGAAGCUGAUCGAAUGCUUUAUGGUUUUCGGUCCCGAUAUUGAAAAACUUGUCAGCCAUCCAACGAUGCCUACGAAAGGAAUCCGUCGUGUUUGUAUGUUUACGGUUUCACUGGCGCCCAAGUAGGAAAAUUGCCUUGUCUGGAAAUUUCGCAAAGUGUGACGGCGUUUGGCAGAACUAUGAUUGAGAAAACAAGAGAGGAUGUGGAGUCUAAAUUUUGCGUCGAGAAUGGCUAUGCCCAUGACGCCAAAGUAAUCUAUGGUAACACAGAUUCCGUAAUGGUGAAAUUCGGUGUACCCACGGUGGCCGAAGCCAUGGAAUUAGGCCGAGAAGCUGCCGCAUUUGUGUCGGCAAAAUUUGUCAAACCCAUUAAUUUGGAAUUGGGAAAAGUCUAUUACCCCUAUGUAUUGAUCAACAAAAAGAGGAAAUUACGGUAUGCAGGAUUGUAUUGGACCAAACCUGAAAAGUUUGACAAAAUGGAUUGUAAGGGUAUAGAAACCGUUCGUCGUGAUAAUUGUCAACUCGUUGCCAAUCUUAUCAAUAGCUGUCUGCAGAAAAUUUUGAUGGAGCGAGACCAGGAUGGAGCCUUAGAAUACGCUAAACAAACAACUUCCGACUUGCUGUGCAACAAAGUCGAUAUCUCACUUCUGGUGAUUACCAAGGAGCUGACUAAAACAGAUACAGACUACGCCAGCAAACAGGCACGUGUGGAACUAGCUCACAAGAUGCGUAAGCGAGAUGCUGGUACAACCCCAAAAUUAGGGGAUCGAGUUCCGUUUAUCAUUAUCGCAGCUGCUAAAAAUACACCAGCCUACCUCAAGGUUCGUCUUUGGAUUUCAAGGGAUUCAAUUUCUUUAUGCUCUCGAAGAGAAGUUUAAUCGUUUAUGGACAGAAUGACAACGGUGCCAGGGAAAUCUCAACGAAGAGAUUCUUUGUUCCAACCGAGAUUGCCCCAUCUUUUAUUUGAGGACAAAAAUUAGAAAAGAUCUCACGGAACAGGAUAAACUUAUGAAAAGAUUCGGCCUACCCUGACAACCUACCGCUCUCGUCAAUGAUGGUGCAUACAGUCUCGUAGGGGGCUAGUCGCUAGGUGGCCCAGGUGCUGUGCUGAGCUGAGCUGAGCUGCUGAUGGCAACAUUUAACAUGGCGUCGUAGCGGCUGGUUAUAUCACGGCAGCCGAACGUGGCAGACCUUCCUUUUUGUAGGUGAAAUUGAAGGGAGGAACUGCAAAUGCUCGGCGACAUCUUGUACGAACGAUGUGGUCUGACGAACACCUUGCCAAGGUGACCAUGCAUUACCUUUGAGUGUAUUUAAGUCGGUAGAUUUGCUCCGCAGUUUCCCGGAUACCAGCAUCCUGCUUCGCGAGAACUACUCUACGUUGUUCUGGGGGGCUUAGACGAACAUCUGAAUCCGAUUUUGAAGAAGUCUUGCAUCGAUGGUCACUUGACAAAAUAUAGGCAGAUUCGUAAUUAUAAAGAAUUGGGAAAGAAAAUUGACGGAGGCUCAGUGCCAAACAAAUUAUGGUAGUUGGAAUGAUUACCGAAGCUCUUCGGAUUCGUUUAUUUCACGCGUUAUAGUAUUUAAAGAAAAUAAACGUGUACCUGGGCCCCUUUGUAUCUGUGACCCGAUUUCCUCUUCACUUGUGAUAAUUCUGCAGCGGGUCAUGCAGAUACUGGGAUCAGCAGAGAAGGUUAGAAGUGCGCUGCCCGGAAAGCAAAUUUGGGGUAAAAGAAAAAAACUUAUUCCAACUAGUAAGCCAUUUCCAAAUUCAACCAACAAAAAGGUACACAGUGAGAUUUGUUUAACAAUUAUGUUUCUUUAAUUGAUUUUAAAAUUACGAAAAGGUGGAAGGAAAAA